GUCCUCGUCGUCCAAUGGAUAGGACGCAGGCCUCCGAAGCCUGAAAUGGCAGUUCGAAUCUGCCCGAGGGCA
rnacentral:tRNA from 1 species